GAGGAUUUCUUAGUCAUCUUUCUGACAAUAAACACAGCCUCGGCUCACAAAGGUCGGGCGAGAGGCCCCUGGACGGCCGCUCUGUGCUCUCUGCUGGAGCAGGGCUCCCCCGGGAGGAGCCACCCCAGAAAUGGACCGGGCCACAGCAGCUGUCCCCGGCCCUCGGGGAAGCCGGACGGGCAGGCUCUCCUGAGCGGGACCUAUUGGAAGGUCCUGUGGGAAGCCCAGCCCAGCCUGGGGAAUGCCAGCACCCGGGAGUGGCCGAGGCCCGGCUCGGAGUAUGGAGAAGGCACCUUCGAUCGUCCAUCUCCCCCUGUGUCACCUAGAUCGCCAAUCACGCAGGAGUGUGCGUGCACACAGGCCGGGCAUCACCAUGACCGAGAGCAUCUGGGAGGAGAAAGGGAACCAUGGCCUCUUGGACCCCCUGCUCUCUGCUCUGUGCGUGACACAUGCACACACUGACACUCACACCCACAUAGACCACGUGUGCUUCCCAGAUUCUCAGAGGGCUUUUUGUGAUUCGCAACGAGUGGACUCCGUGAUAGCUGAGGCCCUUCCCAGUUCUGGCAGCUGGAGGUUUAAAGACACCCAAUCUGCCCCAUGACGUAAGCUCCACCCACAGCAAUGUGCCAGGCACCAGACCAUCGGGGGCAGCUGUGACAUCACAGAGAUGCUUGUGCUUCGGGGGUGAAGCGGGAAGCCCUUGUGACCCCCCUUCAGGCCUUCCUGAUUGUCGCCCCAAAGGCCCACACUGAGGAUGGACCAAGGAGGAGCCCACUGCCAAGGCCUGCUCACCCCCCGAAGGGACCCCGAGCUUCCAUCUGUCCUCAGGUCUUCCAUAGCCACCCCUCUGCCCAAGCUGACGGCUGCACUCAGGGUUCCACCCGACUCCUGGCCGAGCCCUCACGUCACCGCACUGCCAGCACCUGCAGGCCCCACAAGAAGUAAAAAUUAACAUUCCAUCAGGCCAGGUUGGGGGUCUGUGGUUAGGAUAUGUCCUGUGUACACAGCCCAGCCCCUGGCACCAUUCUGGGCAAACAGAAGGAGUGUAAUGGAUGCAGAAACAACAUAGCACUCAGCCAUUUCUCCAACAGCUACUCUUAGGGCCCCACCAACGUGCCCGACAGGUGUGUGGAGUGGGGAACAUGCAGAGCACGCAACAGGGUUGCAGGACCGUCCCCCACCUGCCCCCCGGACUUCACAGGAUGUAAUUGCGCGCUCAUGGUGACAAAGCUGCACAGGAAAUGCGUGCAUGGCAGUCUACCCGGCUGCCCUAGCAGAGGGCACUGAGUGAGGGGCACCACAGCAGGAAAGUGUUGCCUCGCAGUCCGGAGGCCAGCAGCAGAGAGCAGGGUGUCAGCAGGUGGCCCUCGGAGCGCCUCUCCCUGAGCUUCCGGGGCUUUGCUGGCAGCCUCCGGGGGGGGGGGGGGGGGGCGGGGGGGGUGCCG
rnacentral:lncRNA from 1 species